AUAAACGCUGGCGGCGCACAUAAGACCUGCAAGUUGAACGGACUUAAUCGAAAUAUUUAUAUUUUGAAGCGGUUAGUGGCGGACUGGUGAGUAACGCGUAAGGAACCUGCCUAUUAGAGGGGAAUAACAGCGAGAAAUCAUUGCUAAUACCGCAUAUGCCAUAGAUAUCACAUGAUAACAGUGGGAAAGGAGCAAUCCGCUAAUAGAUGGCCUUGCGUCUGAUUAGAUAGUUGGUGGGGUAACGGCCUACCAAGUCGACGAUCAGUAGCCGGACUGAGAGGUUGAACGGCCACAUUGGGACUGAGAUACGGCCCAGACUCCUACGGGAGGCAGCAGUCGGGAAUAUUGCGCAAUGGAGGAAACUCUGACGCAGUGACGCCGCGUAUAGGAAGAAGGUUUUCGGAUUGUAAACUAUUGUCGUUAGGGAAGAGAAAGGACAGUACCUAAGGAGGAAGCUCCGGCUAACUACGUG
rnacentral:rRNA from 1 species